GACGAACGCUGGCGGCGUGCUUAACACAUGCAAGUCGAACGGUAAGGCCCUUCGGGGUACACGAGUGGCGAACGGGUGAGUAACACGUGGGUGAUCAGCCCUGCACUUCGUGAUAAGCAUGGGAAACUGGGUCUCAUACCGGAUAGGACCACUGCCUGCAUGGGUGGUGGUGGAAAGCUUUUGCGGUGUGGGAUGGGCCCGCGGCCUAUCAGCUUGUUGGUGGGGUGAUGGCCUACCAAGGCGACGACGGGUAGCCGGCCUGAUAGGGUGACCGGCAACGCUGGGACUGAGAUAAGGACCAGAGUGCUACGGGAGGCAGAAGUGGAGAAUAUUGCACGAUGGGCGCAAGCCUGAUGCAGCGACGCCGCGUGAGGGAUGACGGCCUUCGGGUUGUAAACCUCUUUCAGCACCGACGAAGCGCAAGUGACGGUAGGUGCAGAAGAAGGACCGGCCAACUACGUGCCAGCCGCCGCGGUAA
rnacentral:rRNA from 1 species